ensembl:lncRNA
UUAGUGUAGGGUUAGAUGGUAGAUGGUAGAGUAUUUAAAUAGUGGAGUAAGGUGGUGGGGUUUAGUGUAGAGUUAGAUGGUAGGGUAUUUAAAUAGUGGAGUAGGGUGGUGGGGUUUAGUGUAGGGUUAGAUGGUAGAUGGUAGGGUAUUUAAAUAGUGGAGUAGGGUGGUGGGGUUUAGUGUAGGGUUAGAUGGUAGGGUAUUUAAAUAGUGGAGUAGGGUGGUGGGGUUUAGUGUAGGGUUAGAUGGUAGGGUAUUUAAAUAGUGGAGUAGGGUGGGGGGGUUUAGUGUAGAGUUAGAUGUUAGAUGGUAGGGUAUUUAAAUAGUGGAGUAGGGUGGUGGGGUUUAGUGUAGGGUUAGAUGGUAGAUGGUAGGGUAUUUAAAUAGUGGAGUAGGGUGGUGGGGUUUAGUGUAGGGUUAGAUGGUAGGGUAUUUA